rnacentral:rRNA from 1 species
GUACGUACGACGAAUUCUUUAGCUUGCUAGGAUAGUAAGUGGCGCACGGGUGAGUAACGCGUGGGUAAUUUACCUCUGAAUUUGGGAUAACUCCGCGAAAGCGGGGCUAAUACCGGAUAAUAUUUCAGGAUCUUCGGGUCUUGAAAUCAAAAGUGGCCUCUACAUGUAAGCUACUGUUUGGAGAUGAGCCCGCGUACCAUUAGCUUGUUGGUAGGGUAGUGGCCUACCAAGGCUACAAUGGUUAGCUGGUCUGAGAGGAUGAUCAGCCACACUGGAACUGACACACGGUCCAGACUCCUACGGGAGGCAGCAGUGAGGAAUUUUGCGCAAUGGGGAAAACCCUGACGCAGCAACGCCGCGUGAGUGAUGAAGGCUUUCGGGUCGUAAAGCUCUGUCAAGUGGGAAGAACAUGAUAAAUGUUAAUAUCAUUUUUCACUGACGGUACCACUAAAGGAAGCACCCGGCUAACUCCGUGCCAGCAGCCGCGGUAAUACGGAGGGUGCAAGCGUUAUUCGGAAUUAUUGGGCGUAAAGGGCGCGUAGGCGGUCUUUUCAGUCAGAUGUGAAAGCCCGGGGCUUAACCCCGGAAGUGCAUUUGAAACUAAAGGACUUGAGUAU